rnacentral:rRNA from 1 species
GAUGAACGCUAGCUACAGGCUUAACACAUGCAAGUCGAGGGGUAACGAGAGGGAAGCUUGCUUUCCUUGUCGACGACCGGCGCACGGGUGAGUAACGCGUAUCCAACCUGCCCCCAACUAGGGAAUAACCUUGCGAAAGUAAGACUAAUACCCUAUAAUUUCCUCAGAUGUCAUCUGACGAGGAAUAAAGAUUUAUCGGUUGUGGAUGGGGAUGCGUCUGAUUAGCUUGUUGGCGGGGUAACGGCCGAACAAGGCAACGAUCAGUAGGGGUUCUGAGAGGAAGGUCCCCCACAUUGGAACUGAGACACGGUCCAAACUCCUACGGGAGGCAGCAGUGAGGAAUAUUGGUCAAUGGGCGGAAGCUUGAACCAGCCAAGUAGCGUGCAGGAUGACGGCCCUAUGGGUUGUAAACUGCUUUUAUACAGGAAUAAAGUUAGCCACGUGUGGUUAUUUGUAGGUACUGUAUGAAUAAGGACCGGCUAAUUCCGUGCCAGCAGCCGCGGUAA